AUUGAACGCUGGCGGCAGGCCUAACACAUGCAAGUCGAACGGUAGCACAGAGAGCUUGCUCUCGGGUGACGAGUGGCGGACGGGUGAGUAAUGUCUGGGAAACUGCCCGAUGGAGGGGGAUAACUACUGGAAAAGGUAGCUAAUACCGCAUAAUGUCGCAAGACCAAAGAGGGGGACCUUCGGGCCUCUUGCCAUCGGAUGUGCCCAGAUGGGAUUAGCUAGUUGGUGAGGUAAGGGCUCACCAAGGCGACGAUCCCUAGCUGGUCUGAGAGGAUGACCAGCCACACUGGAACUGAGACACGGUCCAGACUCCUACGGGAGGCAGCAGUGGGGAAUAUUGCACAAUGGGCGCAAGCCUGAUGCAGCCAUGCCGCGUAUAUGAGGAAGGCCUUCGGGUUGUAAAGUACUUUCAGCGGGGAGGAAGGCGAUACGGUUAAUAACCGUGUUGAUUGACGUUACCCGCAGAAGAAGCACCGGCUAACUCCGUGCCAGCCGCCGCCGUAA
rnacentral:rRNA from 1 species